GGCGCUAUUAACCUCUGAGCCAGGUAUCCAGCAGACGGCGCUAUUAACCUCUGAGCCAUGUAUCCAGCAGACGGCGCUAUUAACCUCUGAGCCAGUUUAAGAACCUGUCCUUCAUGCAGAAUUUUGCUGCCUUCGCCGUCACCUGCUGCUAUAGUGGAGAGAUGCCCUCUCUAGCCUGCCUAGCAUACCCUGGAAAAGCAUCUGCUGGGAAGCAGCUCAGGACACCGUCCCCCUUCCUCACACAGAGCCCUUGCUACAGAGGAGGGAAUUUUUUUUUCUUUAAGCCUCUUUCUUGCCAUUCUAGAGCCUCAAAUUUGAACUGUUUUAAUGAUUCUUUGAGGAAACUAUAGAUGGAUAUGGGAGAUGAGCUAAGAAUUAAAUGAAGUGUCUAAAGAGAGACAUCUGAUUCCAGGCAGGUAUGGGUCUUCUCUAAGUGCCAGCAGUCAUCAUUAAGAUAUUUGUAUCGGGCUAGCAACAACAACAACAGCAAGGCAGCUCCCUGAACACUGGAAAUCUACAGUCACCAUGGAUUUGACUGGGACACAGCUUCAUCUGCUCCAGAGUCCCAAGCAGAAAGGAACAUCCAAUGUGAUUUAGACCUCAGUCUCCCCUGCUUAGGAGCUCAGUGCUCCUUACUUCCUACAACAAACACACAUUUUCCCAUCUACUGAGAGCUCCAAGAACAAGGGAGAAACUGUUACUAGGACUGAAAGAGAAGCACCCAGGCAGGGGCUAUGUGAAGGAGGCCUUGGUGAGUAAAUGGAAUCAUUCUUCAAGGGGGAGUCCUUCCCUUCUCUGCCAUAACUCACAAUCUGCCUUAGUUCACUUCCCAAGGCUUUCUGCUAAGCUCAUGUUCUUAUGCUCUAUGGAUACAGUAAAGGGCACAAGCUGUCUGGACCAUC